rnacentral:rRNA from 1 species
GUAGUUGGAUUUCUGUUAAUAAUUUAUAUAAAAUAUUUUGAUGAAUAUUUAUAUAAUAUUAACAUAAUUCAUAUUACUAUUUUUUUUUUUAGUAUAUGAAAUUUUACUUUGAGAAAAUUAGAGUGCUUAAAGCAGGCAUAUGCCUUGAAUACUCCAGCAUGGAAUAAUAUUAAAGAUUUUUAUCUUUUUUAUUGGUUCUAAGAUAAGAAUAAUGAUUAAUAGGGACAGUUGGGGGCAUUUGUAUUUAACAGUCAGAGGUGAAAUUCUUAGAUUUGUUAAAGACAAACUAAUGCGAAAGCAUUUGCCAAGGAUGUUUUCAUUAAUCAAGAACGAAAGUUAGGGGAUCGAAGACGAUCAGAUACCGUCGUAGUCUUAACCAUAAACUAUGCCAACUAGAGAUU